rnacentral:rRNA from 1 species
UACAGAGGGUGCAAGCGUUGUUCGGAAUUAUUGGGCGUAAAGCGCACGUAGGCGGAUCCUCAAGUCGGGGGUGAAAUCCUGGAGCUCAACUCCAGAACUGCCUUCGAUACUGAGGAUCUCGAGUCCGGGAGAGGUGAGUGGAACUGCGAGUGUAGAGGUGAAAUUCGUAGAUAUUCGCAAGAACACCAGUGGCGAAGGCGGCUCACUGGCCCGGUACUGACGCUGAGGUGCGAAAGCGUGGGGAGCAAACAGG